rnacentral:rRNA from 1 species
UCGAGGAUCUUCGGCAAUGGGCGAAAGCCUGACCGAGCGACGCCGCGUGUGGGAUGAAGGCCUUCGGGUUGUAAACCACUGUCAGUGGGGAGGAAGGCUCCGUGAAGAACGGGGUUUGACCUAUUCGCAGAGGAAGUACGGGCUAAGUUCGUGCCAGCAGCCGCGGUAAGACGAACCGUACGAACGUUAUUCGGAAUUACUGGGCUUAAAGGGUGCGUAGGCUGUGCGGAAAGUUGGGCGUGAAAUACCUCAGCUUAACUGAGGAACUGCGUUCAAAACUACCGUGCUCGAGGGAGACAGAGGUAAGCGGAACUGAGGGUGGAGCGGUGAAAUGCGUUGAUAUCCUCAGGAACACCGGUGGCGAAAGCGGCUUACUGGGUCUCUUCUGACGCUGAUGCACGAAAGCUAGGGUAGCAAACGGGAUUAGAUACCCCCGUAGUCC